CGGGGCUGGAGCUUCAGAGGAGAUGACUGUUAAUGGAGAUGGCCUCUCAAUUCCUUUGGGUGGACCUAUAUAUGCACCCAACUUGGUUGGUCCUCUCACCAGGGUCCCUCACUUUGAGUCUUCUCUUAUUCAAGAACUUCAGAGUCUGGAGGCAGAGUUACACUUGGAUUCAUCUCAACUAUGUGAUGAAGAUAUUUCGAUUGAUG
rnacentral:misc_RNA from 1 species